CAAAUAUGUGGAACAAAGGUAUUAUUACUCCUAUACCUAAAUGUUCAACUACGGAUCCUAGAGAUCCAUUAUCAUAUAGAGGUAUUACCUUAGCACCUUGUGCAUAUAAGCUUUAUUGUGGCGUUUUAAAUAAAAGGUUAACUGAGUGGUUAGACAAAAGGGAUAUAAUAAAUGAUGAACAAAAUGGGUUUAUUAAAGGUAGAAGUACAAUAGAUCAUAUCAGUACAUUAACAUCUGUUAUUGAAACUAGAAAAAAAUGUAAGCUGUCAACUUUUGUAUCUUUCAUUGAUUUUAAAGA
rnacentral:lncRNA from 1 species